GCAGACACAUUCUAGCCAAUCAGCAGCAGACCCUCCCUCCCAGACCCUUCCACCUCCUGGACAGCUCACUAAGAAUGCAGCUUCACAAUGAAUGUAAAAUGGAUGCUGUCCAGGAGGUGGGAGGGUCUAGGAGGGAGGGUCUGCUGCUGAUUGGCUGGAAUGUGUCUG
rnacentral:miRNA from 1 species